CUACGUAGGGGGCGAGCGUUGUCCGGAAUGAUUGGGCGUAAAGGGCGCGUAGGCGGCCUGUUAAGUCUGGAGUGAAAGUCCUGUUUUCAAGAUGGGAAUUGCUUUGGAUACUGAUGGGCUUGAGUGCAGGAGAGGUUAUCGGAAUUCCCGGUGUAGCGGUGAAAUGCGUAGAGAUCGGGAGGAACACCAGUGGCGAAGGCGGGUAACUGGACUGCAACUGACGCUGAGGCGCGAAAGUGUGGGGAGCAAACAGGAUUAGAUACCCUGGUAGUCCACACUGUAAACGAUGAAUGCUAGGUGUAAGAGGUAUCGACCCCUUCUGUGCCGCAGUCAACACAAUAAGCAUUCCGCCUGGGGAGUACGGCCGCAAGGUUGAAACUUAAAGGAAUUGACGGGG
rnacentral:rRNA from 1 species